rnacentral:rRNA from 1 species
GAGCGAAACUCAAAAAGGUACGCUUAGUCCGGAUUGCAGACUGCAACUCGACUGCAUGAAGUCGGAAUCGCUAGUAAUCGCAGGUCAUAAUACUGCGGUGAAUACGUUCCCGGGUCUUGUACACACCGCCCGUCACACCAUGGGAGUGGGUUGCUCCAGAAGUAUAUAGCUUAACGAAUGGGCGUUUACCACGGAGUGAUUCAUGACUGGGGUGAAGUCGUAACAAGGUCGCCGUAGGGGAACCUGCGGCUGGAUCACCUCCUUA